GACUCUCGGCAACGGAUAUCUCGGCUCUUGCAUCGAUGCCAAGGCGAAGAACGUAGCGAAAUGCGAUACUUGGUGUGAAUUGCAGAAUCCCGUGAACCAAGUCCGAGUCUUUGAACGCAAGUUGCGCCCGAAGCCAUUAGGUUGAGGGCACGCCUGCCUGGGUGUCA
rnacentral:rRNA from 1 species